UGGCGCCAAACAGGCAUGGCGGCUGUCACCAGAAAUAGACCGCAUAAAGGGGUUCAGCAAGACUUCGGUUUGUAGAGGUUAAUCAUGAAAUCUUCCAAGCUUUCUACAGUUCCCUGCCAUAAAAACAGCACAUCAUCGAUAAACCGCAGCCAACACUGCACAUCGGAUACGCCCCGCACCCCAUCGCACAAAAAUACCUCCCUCUCCCAGUACCCCAGGAAGAGGUUUGCGUACGACGGAGCGCAGGACGCACCCAUCGCAGUGCCGCGCUUCUAUCUCUGCUUCCCGUCAAUGAAUAGAAACAUUCUUUGUAGACUUUGAGUGGCUGAAAUCCUGUUCUGGCCUCCUACUUGUAAGAAACAUUUUCGGGAACGACAGUGAGACAUUUACUCAAAGCAAGUAAAAAUACUGAAAAUAUUUUAGAUCAGUGUAUGCAGAGGACUUCUUUGGAUUUGGUGGACUACGUCGAUGACCAGCAUUUUUUUUUUGUUAAAUAUUAAUAAAAUGGCUAACCAGGGCUUGUGGGGUUAAUGGCUAACCAGGG